GAAAGAUUUAAUGGCGUUUGAACGAAUAGACGCUGGUAGAAAUUAGUGGCAUUUUAGAAAUAAACACCAUUAAUUUUUCCCUAAAACCCAGGUUUCCUUUUCUUCUUUAUGCUUGAUCUCUUUUCCUUUCCCAUGUUUUUUUCUUCUUUACAAACCUAGGCCAUUUGCUUCAUUCUUUAUUUUGACCUAAAAUGAAACCCAGGUUUCCUUUUCUUCUUUGCACUCGAUUUCCUUUGGUUUCCUAGGCUUCUUGCUUCUCUGCAAACUUAGGUCAUUUGUUUUACUUUUGCUUUCGAUUCUUUUUCUUUUCAUGCCAUUUCCAAUGUGUUGUCUUUUUUUUCGAUCUGAUUCCUUUUCCUUUUCCAAUUUGUUUCGAAUCCCACCUUAAACUAAACCCUCAAGAACUUUACCGUUCACUUGCCACUAUCGUUCCAUUAAUGACAUUCAUCUCCCUUUUCCAUCCAUCUACAACACUGGUUUAAGGUCCAGGAUUUGAAGGGUAGUGAUGUGAAGUUGAAGUUGAUAUUGGAUAUACAUAGACAUAAAUUUAUUGAUUCAAGGUUGCUGCAUUUGUAACAAUGUUUGUAGUAGUGUACAUGAGAAUAUUCCUUGAAGAAAGUAUUCCAAAUCAAGUCGACAGUAUAACACAACCAAUCUUGAAAGAAAGGGAAGAUGGAUUCAAUAGGAUGGUAAUGCACCUAGAAAGAUGUUAGUAUCCAAGAAAACUCCAUCAAUGGGAGAUAUUAUUUGUUUGCUGAAGAGCAGGUUAGGCUUGCUAUAGUAAUAUUUUCCUAGCACUUUGGCCUAUUCUCAGAACUGGUAAAGUUAGGCUAUCAUUUUAAAGAAGUGAAUGUAUAAGUUGUUUUCAUGACCUAAUACUCACAAUAAUUUAAUGCAAUUGUCUUAUUAUUAAAGUUUGAAAUGACUAAUAAAGUUUUAAUUUCAAUAUAUCAUAUUCCCGAGCAACAGUUGUUGCUUUCUUCAAUAGGGCGGGAUGAUAUCUUCAUCAAUGGUAUGACUUCCUUUCUAAUUAUGAAAUUAUGACCUUUACCAAAUAGGAACUUGAGAUAAGUUUUCUGAUCUCAUGAUCCAAAUAUACAUAGCUGAAAAUGACAAAAUCAAUGAUUCAGAAGCAAACUCAAAGAAAUGAACAAGCAAACUAAAACAAAAAAUUAAUAGGGUAGUAAAGCAAUCACAUGAAAAUAAAUUAAACAAAAACUUAAAACACUUGAUUCAAAUAACAAAAUGCCUCUUGGGUGAAUGCUCAACCCAGAAGUAACCUUAUCAACCCCCAAAUAACCAUGAAAAGUCAAAGAAACAACAACCUAAAGCAAACAUUAAAAUCUGGAAAUAGGUUCUGGACAACAUCUGAUUAAAAUUAAGUUUCCAUUCUCAUUUGAUAGUAUUUGAUCUCCAAAUUUUUUGUGGAAGUAACUAACUAAUAUGUAAACAUGCACAUAAAUUUUCAAAAGCAUUGGACAUCAUUUAGUACUUAAAAUUUGACCAAAAUCGUAGUGAAACAAAAUCUGGAAUAUCAGCUUGGAAAAUGAAAUAGCUCCUACUAAAUCUUAGAUCUAGCUCAAAAUAUGCAAUUUUACUGUCAAAUUUUAUAGAAGCUUAGAUAGCUCAUAGUUCAACAAGCAAAAAAAAGAUUGAUACAAAUUGAAACAGAAUUGAAAUUGAAAAGUAACAAAAACCGAAACAAAAUAAAAUCUAAAAAUAGAAUAGCAUUUUGGAAAUAGCUUUUAAAGAAAGUUAAAUUUGUUAGCUCAAUUAGAACUACUUGAUCAAGAGAAAGCAUUGUAAAUCAAGCUAACAAGUGGAGGAACAGUAUAUAAAAUGCUCAUGAUUUGUUGAAAAUAAAAUCAACUUGAAAAUUAAUUAAACAAUAGCAAACAUCAAACCUAGAAACUUAAAAACUGUGUCGAAUACAAAUUGAAAUUGCAAGCUUAAAUGGAAAAUGUUUGCUUAAAGGAACCAAAGUAGAGCUAAAUAACAAGUAAAGGAAUGUAAAAGAAACUUAAAUAAAUUAAAAAAAAAAAGGAAAAACAAAGAACAAAGACUAAAUAGCCAAGAACAUAGUAGCUAUGGAGCCGCAACACCUGGAGUUCUAGCCAAGAAAAAAAAUGUUGAGGCAUGUAUGAAGAGGGACUCUUCUAUAGCUGAAUGAAAGCUUUUUUAAUGUUUGAUCCAAGCUUUACAUGAUACAAUCUCAACCUUCAAAAAUGCCAAGUCAGCUCAAGGAUAUUUGGAAGAUAGAUAGCCGCCCAUAAUCAAUUUUGCACUAGUUGAAAUUUCCAGCUAGCUUCCUCCCUCAUGUCAGGCUUGUUUUGCCAAUCAAAUGAGGUGUAUUAUUGGCUUCCCAUUUAAGGUGAGUUGUCAUCCUUCUAAAGUCUUCAAAUGUUGCAUUUUGAGCUGUCUAAAUUGACCAAACACUAGUUGAUAGCAAAUCUUGACAAAGUUGGCAACAUUUUUAGUUCAACUUGGUGCAAGUCUUCUUCAUCCAAAAUUUAAGCAAGAAAAUUUGUAACGUAUGGGGACUUUUUAUGCGUAAGUAGCUGGCUUUUUCCUUUCUUUUUCUUUUUUUUGUCUCAUGUGCAUUUUCUUGGAAGAGCUUACUUAUUACAUCAAAAACUUUGGAACCCAUGUGCACACUGCCAGCAUCUUUUUCUUAGUUGCAACAGGUAUUAACUUUGAGCUGUUAUGCUAGUUGUAUUUCCCUUUUUUUGUAGCCUAUGUGAUGACAUCUUAAAUGGACCUAUGAUAAUUUUAUAAAAAAUGAAAUUAUCAAAUAGCAGUUGCAAAUUGAUGAUACUUGCUUAACUUUAUGAAUGGUAAUACUAACUAGUUUGUUGAUUCAUUUAGAUUUCAAAUAUUGAAAGAUCUAAUACCAAACACUAAUUAAAAUAGAGAUAUAGCUUCAUUCCUGCCAGAGGAAUGUCAUGAUUCUCG